rnacentral:rRNA from 1 species
UACGUAGGGCGCAAGCGUUGUCCGGAAUUAUUGGGCGUAAAGAGCUCGUAGGCGGUCGAUCAAGUCAGGGGUGAAAUCCUGCAGCUUAACUGUAGAAGUGCCUUUGAUACUGGUCGUCUCGAGGGAGGUAGGGGUGUGUGGAACUUCCAGUGGAGCGGUGAAAUGCGUUGAUAUUGGAAGGAACGCCGGAGGCGAAAGCGACGCACUGGACCUCUUCUGACGCUGAGGCGCGAAAGCUAGGGGAGCAAACGGG